rnacentral:rRNA from 1 species
AUUGAACGCUGGCGGCAGGCCUAACACAUGCAAGUCGAGCGGAUGAAGGGAGCUUGCUCCUGGAUUCAGCGGCGGACGGGUGAGUAAUGCCUAGGAAUCUGCCUGGUAGUGGGGGAUAACGUCCGGAAACGGGCGCUAAUACCGCAUACGUCCUGAGGGAGAAAGUGGGGGAUCUUCGGACCUCACGCUAUCAGAUGAGCCUAGGUCGGAUUAGCUAGUUGGUGGGGUAAAGGCCUACCAAGGCGACGAUCCGUAACUGGUCUGAGAGGAUGAUCAGUCACACUGGAACUGAAACACGGUCCAGACUCCUACGGGAGGCAGCAGUGGGGAAUAUUGGACAGUGGGCGAAAGCAUUGUCCAGCCGUGCCGCGUGUGUGGAGAAGGUCUUCGGAUUGUAAAGCACGUUAAGUUGGGAGAAAGGGCAGUAAGUUAAUACCUUGCUGUUUUGACGUUACCAACAGAAUAAGCACCGGCUAACUUCGUG